rnacentral:snRNA from 1 species
CACGGGUUGCCCAUAUGGAC